rnacentral:rRNA from 1 species
AUUGAACGCUGGCGGCAGGCCUAACACAUGCAAGUAGAACGAGUGGCGGACGGGUGAGUACUGUCUGGGAAACUGCCCGAUGGCGGGGGAUAACUACUGGAAACGGUAGAUAAUACCGCAUACCAUCGGAUGUGCCCAGAUGGGAUUAGUUAGUAGGUGGGGUAACGGCUCACCUAGGCGACGAUACCUAGCUGGUCUGAGCGGAUGACCAGCCACACGGGAACGGAGACACGGUCCAGACUCCUACGGGAGGCAGCAGUGGGGAAUAUUGCACAAUGGGGGCAAGCCUGAUACAGCCAUGCCGCGUGUAUGAAGAAGGCCUUCGGGUUGUAAAGUACUUUCAGCGAGGAGGCGUUACUCGCAGAAGAAGCAUCGGCUAACUCCGUGCCAGCAGCCGCGGUAAUUC